rnacentral:tRNA from 1 species
GGGGACUUGGCUCAGUCCGGUAGAGUGGUUGGCUCCAGAGAACUUUGCUUAAGCAAAGAACCACGAAGAAACCAAUUGGUCGGGUGUUCAAAUCACCCAGUCCCCA